rnacentral:rRNA from 1 species
UACAGAGGGUGCAAGCGUUAAUCGGAAUUACUGGGCGUAAAGCGCGCGUAGGUGGAUAAGUAAGUUGGAUGUGAAAUCCCCGGGCUUAACCUGGGAACUGCAUUCAAAACUGCUUUUCUAGAGUAUGGUAGAGGGGAGUGGAAUUUCCGGUGUAGCGGUGAAAUGCGUAGAUAUCGGAAGGAACACCAGUGGCGAAGGCGACUCUCUGGACCAAUACUGACACUGAGGUGCGAAAGCGUGGGGAGCAAACAGG